rnacentral:tRNA from 1 species
GGUUAAUUAGCUCAGUUGGUUAGAGCGUUUCACUCAUAACGAAAAGGUCGGUGGUUCAAUUCCACCAUUAACCACCA